AUGAAUAAUUUACCUUGCGUUUACAGCAAGGACACUUGGAUUUCUUUAACUCCUCAACUCUGCGAAGCCUGAAACUUUUCUUUCCUCAGCUCGACCUCCUUACGGCUCCGCCUGAGCAGGUGCUCUGGAUCCUCGCCGUCUGCAGGGAGGCAGCAACUGCUCGCAGCACAAAGCCGUGAUGAUGUCUGAGUUUCCUCCCAGGUGAGGGUUUUCUCUGCGCCACGCUCGCCAUUUGUUGCAAUCGCCAGCACGAUCUCACCCCCACGCAGAGCUUUCCUCCCCGUACUGCUCCGCGCCCAGCUCCGUUUUCUCCAGAACUUGAGCACACCGUGCUCGAUGAUUACAGCGCUCAAAAACCAGAGAAACACUCGGUCAGAUCCAGCCUUAAAUCUGCAAGAGUGAGAACCUCAAAACAGCGUCUUGUAGAGGAUCGCAGCGUAACGGCCUGUAGCUCACUGCGUCGGUUCCCCCAACUAACCCGUGUGCCUCGUGAAAACUUUGGCUUUCCGGGUUGGAGACUGCUUUUAUCUCCCUUAGUUCCAUCUGCGAUUUCUUUCUCUUUCCAGCUACUGAACGCUGGAAUCAGUGGUCCUUGAAAUACCUUACUAAAUCUGGUGAGGCCAGAACAGCAAAAAGAUUUGUAAAGAGGGCAACUCGGCAUCACCUGAAAAUGUAAAGCACGACAAGUUUAGCUACUUCUGUCAGUUUUUUGUCUUCAGCUUCUACAUAGGAGCAUUUCCUAUUCGUAUUUCUUUAAAAAUGGGGUAUAUUUAUUUUGAAUUAUUUUGUCUUGAGGGACUACAAAUUGCAACGAGGUGCCUUUGAUGGAAGAUCACUAGCAGGGUGACAGAGCUGCCUGGGAAAUAAGAGGGGCUGGAUGCUCCGGCGUAACGUAUCCUGCAGGAUAUGUGUGGGCUUGAACUGAUUUGUCAAAUUUGAGCACAGAAAACGAUUUUGCUAAUGGGUGUUUUCUGAACAACGAGCGUGUUGUCUCGGCAGUUUGUGCUCUGACUUGUGCUGUCUUCUCGCCACCCAUCCUUGGCAGGCGCAGAGAGGAGGCACCGGUGUCUUCUCCCCGCACCUCGCUCCUCGUUAGCCCGACAGCCCGGCCAGAUCCCGACAGCUCGUGCGACGGGUUGAAAAGCACGCUCGAGAUUUCCUCCUCCAAACCUACUCACCCGACUUCUCGAACGUGUUUGCUUUGGCUCGGUAAUGCCCCCUUCCCUUAAUCCCCGUGGCUUUGGUUCUGCGGCCCGCAGGGCAAGGUCUGCUCAGAAGGCGAGGAAGGCAAACGGGCACCCCUGGGAUGAACGAAGCCGCCCCCUCCCUGCUGCCCCAUUUUUGUGCUGCUGCACGUGGAGCGAGGAAAUCGCGGGGGUCUGCGCAGUUUAGGAGCAGCGACUGGGCUGCAGUGCCGCACUGCAUGGGAUUUCGCUUAGGCACGCAGGCAUGGCAAUGUUUCUCUCAUUAAUAGCGGGAUUCCCUUCACAUGGCGAUGUUUCUUCAGCUGCUGACUCACAAAUAAAUCAUUUAACUGACUUUUUUUUUUUCCCCUUUCCCAUUUGGGAAGCUCCUGUAAGCUUCCCUUAUCCUCAGCCAGAGGCCUAGCAGGAGGCUUGAAAAACGAAGAGCGGCGUCUCCUGCAGCGCAGUUCGGUAACGUCACCUCAGACGUGCCGUGGGGGAGCACCGAGCAUCGCGACCUCCCGUCUGAUAAUCACAGCUUUCCCUCUUUAACGUGUGCUUGGCGCGAGAGCAGCAGCUACAUAAAACUAACACCUUUUUUUCGCUAGGUGCUGCUAGUCCAGCCGCAGUGAACUCCGCUCACUUGUGCAACUUCUUAAAUAAAAAACAUUGUCAGCGCUAAAGAUACAGUCAGCAAGGCUGCCCCUCUACCUGGCGCUGGAGAACCGUGUGAGAGCACAGGGGACGUGCGGCGGAUUUGUUACCGACAGUGCUGUUGUAUCGCAUCCAACUGCAAAACCUAUCAGGACGUUCUGUAUCGAUUGGACUACAACGACCAAAAUAACAAAGGUGUAACAAAGCGAGCAACCAACUAAAAGCCAAAUACUAGCGGCGACCUGAGGCCUAAAACAAAGCACAGAGCAUCAGUAAUUGGUGCUGGGGGAGCUUAAAGUCGAGAGGUGUUUCUCUCUUUGUCCUGAAAAUUCUCAGGAGCUGGAGGCUGGUGUUUCCAGCACC